rnacentral:tRNA from 2 species
GCGAAAGUAGCUCAGUGGUAGAGCAUCACCUUGCCAAGGUGAGGGUCGCGGGUUCAAAUCCCGUCUUUCGCU